rfam:Epilithonimonas sp. FH1 contig02, whole genome shotgun sequence.
AACUUGCAGCCCGACUUGAGCGGAAAUCCUUUUUUGCGUGUACUUACGUUCUACUGAACUGGAAACCGUCUGCAAAAAAGAUUGGGAGCGGAAGGCGGAAAUAGCU